CCUACGGGAGGCUGCAGUGGGGAAUAUUGGGCAAUGGGCGCAGGCCUGACCCAGCAACGCCGCGUGAAGGAAGAAGGCUUUCGGGUUGUAAACUUCUUUUAUGAGGGACGAAAGAAAUGACGGUACCUCAUGAAUAAGCCACGGGUAACUACGUGCCAGCAGCCGCUGCAAAACGUAGGUGGCAAGCGUUAACCGGAUUUAAUGGGUGUAAAGGGGGUGUAGGCGGGACUGCAAGUCAGAUGUGAAAAGUAUGGGGCUAACCCAUAACGUGCAGUUGAAAAUGUAGUUCUUGAGUGAUGGAGAGGCAUGCGGAAUGCGGGGUGUAGCGGUGAAAUGCAUAGAUAUAACGAAGAACACCAGUGGCGAAGGCAGCCUGCUGGACAUUAACUGACGCUGAGGCGCGAAAGCGUGGGGAGCGAACAGGAUUAGAUACCCCAGUAGUC
rnacentral:rRNA from 1 species